CAGCAGUGGGGGAUAUUGCACAAUGGGGGGAACCCUGAUGCAGCGACGCCGCGUGGGCGAUGGAGUGCUUCGGCAUGUAAAGCCCUAUCAGCAGGGAAGAAAAUGACGGUACCUGACUAAGAAGCCCCGGCUAAAUACGUGCCAGCAGCCGCGGUAAUACGUAUGGGGCAAGCGUUAUCCGGAUUUACUGGGUGUAAAGGGAGCGUAGGCGGCCUGGCAAGCCUGAUGUGAAAUACCGGGGCCCAACCCCGGGGCUGCAUUGGGAACUGCCAGGCUGGAGUGCCGGAGAGGCAGGCGGAAUUCCUAGUGUAGCGGUGAAAUGCGUAGAUAUUAGGAGGAACACCAGUGGCGAAGGCGGCCUGCUGGACGGUGACUGACGCUGAGGCUCGAAAGCGUGGGGAGCAAACAGGAUUAGA
rnacentral:rRNA from 1 species